GCUGGACUAGCUCAGUUGGUAGAGCAUGAGACUCUUAAUCUCAGGGUUGUGGGUUCGAGCCCCACGUCGGGCG